rnacentral:rRNA from 1 species
AUUGAACGCUGGCGGCAUGCCUUACACAUGCAAGUCGAACGGAUUCAAGAGGCUUGCUUCUUGAGUUAGUGGCGAACGGGUGAGUAAAGCAUCGGAACGUACCCAGUUGUGGGGGAUAACGCAGCGAAAGUUACGCUAAUACCGCAUACGCACUGAGGUGGAAAGCGGGGGACCGAAAGGCCUCGCGCAAUUGGAGCGGCCGAUGUCGGAUUAGCUAGUUGGUGAGGUACAGGCUCACCAAGGCGACGAUCCGUAGCUGGUCUGAGAGGACGACCAGCCAAACUGGAACUGAGACACGGUCCAGACUCCUACGGGAGGCAGCAGUGGGGAAUUUUGGACAAUGGGCGAAAGCCUGAUCCAGCCAUGCCGCGUGAGUGAAGAAGGCCUUCGGGUUGUAAAGCUCUUUCAGACGGAAAGAAAUCUUUCGGGUGAAUAUCCCGGAAGGAUGACGGUACCGUAAGAAGAAGCACCGGCUAACUACGUGCCAGCAGCCGCCGUAA